AUCCAGCUGAUGAGUCCCAAAUAGGAAGAAAAGCGCACCCUGGAU
rfam:Schistosoma mansoni strain Puerto Rico chromosome 3, complete genome